UCGGGGCCGCACGCGCGAUACAUUGAAGGACCCAGCACGCGCCGCUCCCGGUCCGACGGGACCGGGCAAUCCCACGAACCUCCUUCGUGCUGGGGAUUGAAGACUGCAAUUUCUCUUCAUGAACGAGGAAUUCCUAGUAAGCGCGAGUCAUCAGCUCGCUGUUGAUUACGUCCCUGGCCCUUGUACACACCGCCCGUCGCUGAUAGCAAUUGAAACGUCCAGUGAGAUCUUCGGACCGGCCCCUCGGGGCGCCGCGAGGCGCCCCGUCCGCGCUGGAAAGACGACCAAACUUGACCUUUUAGAGGUAUCAAAAGUCGUAACAAGGCUUCC
rnacentral:rRNA from 1 species